rnacentral:rRNA from 1 species
UGAGGCAUGCUGGAGGUAUCAGAAGUGCGAAUGCUGACAUAAGUAACGAUAAAGCGGGUGAAAAGCCCGCUCGCCGGAAGACCAAGGGUUCCUGUCCAACGUUAAUCGGGGCAGGGUGAGUCGACCCCUAAGGCGAGGCCGAAAGGCGUAGUCGAUGGGAAACAGGUUAAUAUUCCUGUACUUGGUGUUACUGCGAAGGGGGGACGGAGAAGGCUAUGUUGGCCGGGCGACGGUUGUCCCGGUUUAAGCGUGUAGGCUGGUUUUCCAGGCAAAUCCGGAAAAUCAAGGCUGAGGCGUGAUGACGAGGCACUACGGUGCUGAAGCAACAAAUGCCCUGCUUCCAGGAAAAGCCUCUAAGCAUCAGGUAACAUCAAAUCGUACCCCAAACCGACACAGGUGGUCAGGUAGAGAAUACCAAGGCGCUUGAGAGAACUCGGGUGAAGGAACUAGGCAAAAUGGUGCCGUAACUUCGGGAGAAGGCACGCUGAUAUGUAGGUGAAGUCCCUCGCGGAUGGAGCUGAAAUCAGUCGAAGAUACCAGCUGGCUGCAACUGUUUAUUAAAAACACAGCACUGUGCAAACACGAAAGUGGACGUAUACGGUGUGACGCCUGCCCGGUGC